CCCGCUAAACACUUAAACUCUUGAAACUCAGUGUUUUCGAAAUUUGAGCUCCUCACAAUCUUUGAUUAACGCCAUUGGAGAAACUGAGAUGCGGAAGUCGGCGUGACGAUUCCGUUGGUUGGGGUUUCGAUCACGUCCUUUCACCUUCUUUCCUUCCAUCGAAACGAGAUAGCUUCCAGAUCCAUUGUAUUAAACAUUCCACGAUCUACACUUCAAUGUAUGUUAAUCUUCUUAGAGGCGGUGUUUCUACGGUAUAAAAAGGGGAAACAAAGGUAUCAACUUUAAGAAAUGGAGGCGAUGAUGCCGUAGCAGAAGCUCCGCCUUGGAAUCUGAGGACGAGGCGAGCUGCUUGUAACGAACCUGGAGAUGAGCCCACGAGGAUCACUGGCGUCAAGAGAGGUAGUAACGAAGGAGGUGGGGAUGGAGAUUCGCAGAAACUGAAAUUCUCUGUUUCUUUUGUUUCUUUGUUGAGGGAAUUAGUCGAAAAAGAUUUCACGGCCUUUGAUGGGAAAAAACCUCCUACAAGACCAAAGAAGAGACAAGAGAUAUUCAGAGUCAAAUGAAUAGGAAGUAACAGCAGGCUCUUAUGAUUUAUGACGUCUCUGAUGCUGCGGAAACAUGAUCAAAGAGGUGAGUGGAGUUUUUAAAAGAGACGAGUGGAGUUUUUAUUACCAGAGCUAAUAGCAAUGCAUCUUCUCAUGUUUGAUUUUUCAACAAAGAAAUCUCAUCUUUUACUGUUAAAAGAAGCUUUCAGUGUUAUUACAUCAGUAUAGUACUUCAAAAAUUGAGAUAAGGGUGACAAAUAAGAAUGAGGAGACCAAUGCAGUGUCGUGGAGCAAAGUCACAGCAUUGAAUUUGAGCUAUGUUCUUCAAAUUUUGCAUCUUCCAAGACCCGGAUAAGGGAGAAGAAAGUUGUAGUAUGUUAGGAGAGAUGGAAUGACUUAGACUGUUAGUUUGUAUAUGGUCAAUUUUUCAAUUUUUGGUUGUUAGUGUGCAUAGUUAUUAGUCUAUCACCUUAGUGACUUGAAACUUGGUCGCCCGAGAACAGAGACAGUCUUCUUCCAAUUUGUCUAAUAUUUUUUAUACCA